UCCUUGUCGGGACGAACCGACUAUUGGGUAUUACUCUUAAGGUUGUAAAGCCUCGGGUUGUACCUAAUAGGAUAUGUGUACUUAGGCAGUUGGCCUAAGGUACCUGGAUUUAUUUCGGGAAUUUCGGGUUAGUCGUUUAUGUACACAUUGUGGCUUUUCGGUUUGGUUUCAGUUACGAGUGAUUGGCUGUGCAUGUUCUUGUUUGAUUGUUGCACGGCUGGUCGAGUCAACUUAUACUUAGACCAGAUCGGGGGUGUCACAGUCGGGGGCAUUCGUAUUUCAUAGUCAGAGUUGAAAUUCUUUGAUUUAUGAAAGACGAACAACUGCGAAAGCAUUUGCCAAGGAUGUUUUCAUUAAUCAAGA
rnacentral:ncRNA from 1 species